rnacentral:tRNA from 1 species
GCGUUUUUAGCUCAGUUGGUAGAGCACCUGACUCUUAAUCAGGGUGCCCAGGGUUCGAGUCCCUGAAGGCGCA